rnacentral:rRNA from 1 species
AUGAACGCUAGCGGCAGGCCUAAUACAUGCAAGUCGGACGGGAUCCAUUGAUAGCUUGCUAUCAAUGGUGAGAGUGGCGCACGGGUGCGUAACGCGUGAGCAACCUGCCUCCAUCAGGGGGAUAGCCUCUCGAAAGAGAGAUUAACACCGCAUAAUAUCAACAGUUCGCAUGUUCAGUUGAUUAAAUAUUUAUAGGAUGGAGAUGGGCUCGCGUGACAUUAGCUAGUUGGUAGGGUAACGGCUUACCAAGGCGACGAUGUCUAGGGGCUCUGAGAGGAGAAUCCCCCACACUGGUACUGAGACACGGACCAGACUCCUACGGGAGGCAGCAGUAAGGAAUAUUGGUCAAUGGGCGGAAGCCUGAACCAGCCAUGCCGCGUGCAGGAUGACUGCCCUAUGGGUUGUAAACUGCUUUUGUCCAGGAAUAAACCUAAAUACGAGUAUUUAGCUGAAUGUACUGGAAGAAUAAGGAUCGGCUAACUCCGUG